rnacentral:snoRNA from 13 species
GUGCUAUGAUGACUUAAUAAGGUUUCGCUAUGUUUCUGAGAAAAUCGGAUGACACUUCCUUGGCUGUCUGAGCAU